ensembl:snRNA U6 U6 spliceosomal RNA
AUGCUCACUUCGGCAGCACAUACACUAAAAUUGGAAUGAUACAGAGAUUAGCAUGGCACCUGCAUAAGGACAACAUGCAAAUUCAUGAAGCAUUCCAAAUUUUU